GACGAACGCUGGCGGCGUGCUUAAUACAUGCAAGUCGAACGGACAGGCCAUGCUCUUGUGGGGUGCUCGAGUGGCGAACGGGUGAGUAAAACGCGAGUAACCUGCCCUUGACUUUGGGAUAACUCCAGGAAACUGGGGCUCAUAUCGGAUAGGAGCUCCUGCUGCAUGGUGGGGGUUGGAAAGAUUCGGCGGUUGGGGAUGGACUGGCGGCUUAUCAGCUUGUUGGUGAGGUAGUGGCUUACCAAGGUUUUGACGGGUAGCCGGCCUGAGAGGGUGACCGGCCACAUUGGGACUGAGGUACGGCCCAGACGCCUACGGGAGGCAGCAGUGGGGAAUAUUGCACAAUGGGCGGAAGCCUGAUGCAGCAACGCCGCGUGCGGGAUGACGGCCUUCUGGGUGUAAACCGCUUUCGCCGGUGACGAAGCGUGAGUGACGGUAAUGAGUAAAGAAGCACCGGCUAACUACGUG
rnacentral:rRNA from 1 species